rnacentral:rRNA from 1 species
AUUGAACGCUGGCGGCAGGCCUAACACAUGCAAGUCGAACGAGUGGCGGACGGGUGAGUAAUGGCUGAGAAACUGCCUGAUGGAGGGGUAUAACUACUGUAAACGGUAGCUAAUACCGCAUAACAUCCUAUGUGCCCAGGUGGGAUUAGCUAGUUGGUGGGGUAACGGCUCACCAAGGCGAAGAUCCCUAGCUGGUCUGAGAGGAUGACCAGCCACACUGGGACUGAGACACGGUCCAGACUCCUACGGGAGGCAGCAGUGGGGAAUAUUGCACAAUGGGCGAAAGCCUGAUGGAGCCAUGCCGCGUGUAUGAAGAAGGCCUUCGGGUUGUAAAGCACUUUCAGCGGGGAGGCGUUACCUGCAGAAGAAGCACCGGCUAACUCCGUGCCAGCAGCCGCGGUAAUUC